rnacentral:rRNA from 1 species
UACGUAGGGGGCGAGCGUUGUCCGGAUUUAUUGGGCGGAAAGAGCUCGUAGGCGGUUUGGUAAGUUGGAGGUGAAAUCUCCAGGCUCAACUUGGAGGGGUCAUUCGAUACUGCCAUGACUAGAGUUCGGUAGGGGAGUGUGGAAUUCCUGGUGGAGCGGUGAAAUGCGCAGAUAUCAGGAGGAACACCCGUAGCGAAGGCGGCACUCUGGGCCGGAACUGACGCUGAGGAGCGAAAGCGUGGGGAGCGAACAGG